rnacentral:rRNA from 1 species
AGGGAUCAUUACAGAGUUUUCUAAACUCCCAACCCUUUGUGUAUCUACUAUUUUGUUGCCUCGGCGGGCUCUGCUCCUCGGAGCAGGCCUAAGUCCGCCGGUGGCCCAAAACUUAAACUCUUGGAUUUUUUGUUAUCUGAGUUAUUUUUAAAAUAAGUCAAAACUUUUAACAACGGAUCUCUUGGUUCUGGCAUCGAUGAAGAACGCAGCGAAAUGCGAUAAGUAAUGUGAAUUGCAGAAUUCAGUGAAUCAUCGAAUCUUUGAACGCACAUUGCGCCCAUUAGUAUUCUAGUGGGCAUGCCUAUUCGAGCGUCAUUUCAACCCUUAAGCCUAGCUUAGUGUUAGGAGCUUACGGCAAUGUAACUCCCUAAAGUCAUUGGCAGAGCUAAAUCAACUCUCAGCGUAGUAAUUUCAUCUCGCUCUUGUAGUUGGUCUGGCGAUCGCCAUAAACCUUUAUUUUCUAAUGGUUGACCUCGGAUUAGGUAGGAAUACCCGCUGAACUUAA